GCUGGGCAUGGUGGCGCGUGCCUGUAAUCCCAGCUACUCAGGAGGCUGAGGCAGGAGAAUUGCCUGAACCCAGGAGGCGGAGGUUGCGGUGAGCUGAGAUCAAGCCACUGCACUCCAGCCUGGGUAACAAGAGCGAAACUCUGUCUCAA
rnacentral:sRNA from 1 species